UAGAGAAACAGAGCCAAUAGAAUGUCCUAAGAUAUGCAGUUGGCAAGCUGGAGACCCAAGAAGAGCCAAUAUUUCAGUUUGAGUCUGAAGGCAGGAAAAGACUGAUGUCCCAUCUCAAAGCAGUCAGGCAGAGGGAGUUCCCUCUUGUUCUCAGUCAAGGAAGGAUGGCGCAGUGCUCCCGCUGUUCCGAGGCUCAGCUAUCCUGAGGGAGGCAGGGAAUUUUGAUCAGCUUCUGAAGAAUCACCUCAUCUCUCCCUGCAGAGAGCACAGAGCACAGGACUUCACGUUAUGUCAACAUCUCUUGCAAAAGCCCAGCUCCUAGAGAGCAGGAGCCUUCCCAGACCGUGUCAAAUUACCUCGGGGAUGGAGAGACUUAACAUGGCACUAGUAGAAAUCAAAUGGCAGAGCUCAGGUUUCUGAUGAGUCUUCUGAGGUUCAGAAGGGUGAGAUGACACAUUCAAGGUCACAUGGCUCAUUUGUGCUGGAGUCAGAAGUUUCCAGAUUUCUUGACUUUUAGUCCAAGGAGCAGUCCCUGUGCAUGUGUCAGAGUUGAACAAGCCAGGGUUUUGGCUUAAAGUCUGACUGUACAAGGGCAUGUCAAGAAGAGCUGGGCUGAGUGCCCAUGACCUCAGGGACAUCUUGGAAGCUAUAUGUAGAAGAUGGAAAAGCCUCUGUCAUCUCCAUCAAUUUAAUCUCCAAGUAACUACUUAGAAAAGGGACAGCUUAGUAACUCCUUCAUUGCCCAGUACUAUUAGGACUACUGAUUGUUUGGGGACAUCCAAAAUCACUCAGGAUUGUGGUGACCAGUUGAACAGAGAUAUGCCAAAUGCAGGCAGUGAUUUAUAUCCCUGCAGAAGGAGUCUCGCCCUGUCACCAGGCUGGAGUGCGAUGGUGCAAUCUCUGCUCACUGCAACUUCCACCUCCCGGGUUCAAAUUUCUCCUGCCUCAGCCUCCUAAGUGGCUGGGACUACAGAUGCCUGCCGCCACGCCUGGCUAAUUUUUUGUAUUUUAGUAGAGAUGGGGUUUAGGCUGGUCUCGAACUCCUGAGCUCAGGCAAUCUGCCCUCCUGAGCUCAGGCAAUCUGCCUGCCUGGGCCUCCCAAAGUGCUAGGAUUACAGGCAUGAGCCACCGCCCUCAGCCACUAUCUUAUUUUUUAGCGUAUCUGAAUUAAAAACAUAAAGUCUUCUCUAUGUAUGUUGAUGAUAAACUUUGGGUUUCAAGGAAAAGAGUCACUCAGGCAACUUCCAAGAAUGGGAGGGGAGAAGGGGUUAUUAUAGGAUACAGUGGAAAUAAAUCUGGGAGGAAUCUCAAUCAUGUUCCAAGAGCUUGCAGGGGCCCAGAGAAAUUCUCACAAUGAGGCCUCACAGGAAAAGCAAGAAUACCGAGAGCAGGAAAGCUUGGAGGCUAAGAGUUCCCUUGGAAGUUGAACUACUGCCUGAGAAUAUUAAAACAAAAACAGAAACACAUAAAUAGCCAGCCCUGAAACCAGCCUCUCAACUUCUGAUAGGUUAUAUUUACAUUUAUGUACUUCCCUAUCACAGUUUAUAAUCAAGCUAAGGCUAGUAGCCUUGAAUAUUUUUAGGGCUGCAAUUUGUACAUCAUCUAAGCUAACAGAUGAAAAGUGCAAGUGUAGUUGCCUAAGCACAGGUACAUUCGUUCAACAACAAAUCUUUACCUGAAUGUCCAUUGUAUGUCCGACGCAGUCCUGUAUCCUGGGGUGGCAGCCUGGGGACCUGAGAGGACUUUGAGUGGAGCUAAAG